rnacentral:rRNA from 1 species
GACGGAGGGUGCAAGCGUUGUUCGGAUUGACUGGGCGUAAAGGGCGUGUAGGCGGUUGGUCAAGUCUGAUGUGAAAGCCCGGGGCUCAGCUUCGGAAGGGCAUCAGAAACUAGCCAGCUGGAGCGCGAUAGAGGAGGGCGGAAUUCCUGGUGUAGCGGUGAAAUGCGUAGAUAUCAGGAGGAACACCGGCGGGCGAAGGCGGCCCUCUGGAUCGUUGCUGACGGCUGGAGAACGCGAAAGCGUGGGGAGCAAACAGG